rnacentral:rRNA from 1 species
GACGAACGCUGGCGGUGUGCUUAACACAUGCAAGUCGAACGGUAAGGCCCUUUCGGGGGUACACGAGUGGCGAACGGGUGAGUAACACGUGAGUAACCUGCCCUCAUCUCUGGGAUAACAGUCGGAAACGGUUGCUAAUACUGGAUAUGAGCUUGCAAGGCAUCUUGUGGGUUGGAAAGAUUUUUUUGGUUGGGGAUGGACUCGCGGCCUAUCAGCUUGUUGGUGAGGUAGUGGCUCACCAAGGCUUCGACGGGUAGCCGGCCGAGAGGGCGACCGGCCACAUUGGGACUGAGAUACGGCCCAAACUCCUACGGGAGGCAGCAGUGGGGAAUAUUGCACAAUGGACGGAAGUCUGAUGCAGCAACGCCGCGUGCGGGAUGACGGCCUUCGGGUUGUAAACCGCUUUCAAUUGUGACGAAGCUUUUUGUGACGGUAGCAGUAGAAGAAGCACCGGCUAACUACGUG